UAGUAGUUGAAUGACAUUUAUAUGCUUUUAGCAUAGGGUUGAGACAUGUAGUAUACUUGAUAGUCUCCUUUUGCAUUAAAGCAUACUUGGUUGCCAUGACAGAACUUAUGCAUAAUGUAUUCAUAAAGGUUAAUGAUUUACCAUUUGAUAUCAUAGAUGUACAUCACCAUGACAUCGUUUAUACUUGAGUUUGGUAAUUUAGCAUUUUAAUUAUGCCUUUAUACCGCAGUCAUUAUUGCUAUUAUUAUUGUACUUACUCUUUUCUUUUGGGGCCUAGUGGUGCAUAGAGCUGAGGUCAGUAAUUGCCCACUGGGAACUAUAAAUUAUAGUUCUCACGCCCUCUUUUU
rnacentral:lncRNA from 1 species